rnacentral:rRNA from 1 species
UACAGAGGGGGCAAGCGUUGUUCGGAAUUACUGGGCGUAAAGGGCGCGUAGGCGGCCUUCUAAGUCGAACGUGAAAUCCCUGGGCUCAACCCAGGAACUGCGUCCGAUACUGGAAGGCUUGAAUCCGGGAGAGGGAUGCGGAAUUCCAGGUGUAGCGGUGAAAUGCGUAGAUAUCUGGAGGAACACCGGUGGCGAAGGCGGCAUUCUGGGCAGUAACUGACGCUGAGGAACGAAAGCGUGGGUAGCAAACAGG